GUUCUCACUUUGUCAGCACAUAUGCUAAAAUUAGAAUGAUACAGUGAAGAUUAGCAUGACCUCUGCACAAGGAUGGCAUGCAAAUUCACAAGCACUCCAUAUUUUG